rnacentral:rRNA from 10 species
GUUGACCUCGGAUCAGGUAGGGAUACCCGCUGAACUUAAGCAUAUCAAUAAGCG